rnacentral:rRNA from 1 species
UACGUAGGGUGCGAGCGUUAAUCGGAAUUACCGGGCGUAACGCGUGCGCAGGCGGUGAGUUAAGUCUGAUGUGAAAGCCCCGGGCUCAACCUGGGAAUGGCAUUGGAAACUGGCUCGCUGGAGUGUGGCAGAGGGGGGUGGAAUUCCGCGUGUAGCAGUGAAAUGCGUAGAGAUGCGGAGGAACACCGAUGGCGAAGGCAGCCCCCUGGGCCAACACUGACGCUCAGGCACGAAAGCGUGGGGAGCAAACAGG